CUUCAAGCCAGCAGACUGCAUGGAUCCUUCCAGAGUGUGAAAUCCCCAACAAUGCGAAAAGCUACUGUUAGCAACAGGUACUUUCGCCUACAUGCUAAGAUCAACCGCCAGUGGUCUAGAAUCGUGUAGAACUGAACCCCAGGCUGCAGAGAUCAGUGUGUUUUCCCCUGCGACCACCAGCAGCCCUUGUCCAGUGCGUGCUGCAAACAAACGCCAAGGGAGUCACUACGGGAUAUGAAGCCCUAUAGACCGGAUCAGUCAGUCAGUUCAGCCAGCCACAGAACUCACCAGACCACUUUCCUGAGACACCUGUCCCACCCUCUUGCCAGCCAAAUCCUGCCAGCUUACAUUUGGAUUCUGGAAUCGAGCCAAACCUCAG